CCUACGGGUGGCAGCAGUGAGGAAUAUUGGUCAAUGGGCGCGAGCCUGAACCAGCCAAGUAGCGUGAAGGAUGACUGCCCUACGGGUUGUAAACUUCUUUUAUAAAGAAAUAAAGUGAGGCACGUGUGCCUUUUUGUAUGUACUUUAUGAAUAAGGAUCGGCUAACUCCGUGCCAGCAGCCGCGGUAAUACGGAGGGUGCGGGCGUUAAUCGGAAUUACUGUGCGGAAAGGGUUCGUAGGCGGGAUGGCAAGGCAAGGGUGAAAUCCCCGAGCUCAACGUGGGAACCGCUUUUGAAACUGGCAAACUGGAGUGUGUGAGAGGAUAGUGGAAUUCCAGGUGUAGGAGUGAAAUCCGUAGAUAUCUGGAGGAACAUCAGUGGCGAAGGCGACUAUCUGGCACAUAACUGACGCUGAGGCGCGAAAGCGUGGGUAGCAAACAGGAUUAGAUACCCGGGUAGUC
rnacentral:rRNA from 1 species